AUCGCUUCUCGGCCUUUGGGCUAAGAUCAAGUGUAGUAUUUGUACAUAUGAUCACAUCAAUUUUUUUAGCAGUGAUUCAUGAAGGUGCAUAUGCACAUCAGUAAUGUAGAAGAUGCAAGUGAGCAAAGAACUGACAGCUGCAGUGAGCUGCAUGUGAAUCACUUUCUACAUUAAUUUUAGAGAUCUGCCU